UUCAAGUUUGUGGCAGAGGGGGCUCCUGUCACCUCCCUGUCUGUCAUCACUGCAUCUUCACCCUCCACGGCUCUGACAGCCAGGUUUCUCCCCAGUUUUUCUUACGAGUUUGCAGGUGCUGGCUCCUUGCUCCACCGUUGGGGUUGGAAAAAUGUGAGCUGACAGUGUCCCCUCAGAGCUACGAGACAUCUCACCCAGCAGCAUCUCAACGUGGUGGUGAUGGGCUGAUGAGAAGUGCCCCCAGCCUUGUCCCACCACCCCAGCUCCACUUCCAUCCCCAGAAGAGGAUCCCAGCACCAAGCAGAGAUCUGAAAUGUUCAUUCCAGCCCAGGAAUUUGGGACUUCCAGCAGCAAACCCAAACCACUGCAAAAUCUCUUGGAAACGGGGAAAAAGAUCAGCCUUCCUUCCACCUCGCUGCUUGUAGAAAGCUGCCCAAACCACCAACGAAGCCUUCGCAGUGAUCGCUCCCGCUGGCACAGCUGAGUCCUGCCAUCUAAAUGAAACUGAAAAGCUGAGGAAAUAAUAAAAUUGAAAAAAAAGCGCUGAGUGAGAAGAGGCAGCUCCUCAAAAGCUGGAGAACCACGUGCUGUGGGUGGUGGAACCCCAGUCCCCUUCCCAAGUGGGGAGAACUUGGGGGUACAGAGAGAGAAGCCCCCAAAAGGCAGCCCUGGAGCUGAAAGAGGGUCCCCUGGAGCCACGGAUGGGAAUCCUGCCCCACACCACAGGAAAUCAAACUGCACCUUGGCGUUGUGAAACGAGGAUGAGUAUGGAAAAGGCUGGUGGCAGAGCUGACUCCAAGGGAGAGCCCCCCAGGAUGGUGGGGGACAGUAGG